GACGAACGCUGGCGGCGUGCCUAACACAUGCAAGUCGAACGAAGUGGCGAACGGGUGAGUAAUGUGUAAUCAACCUGCCCUUCAGAGGGGGACAACAGUUGGAAACGACUGCUAAUACCGCAUACUGAAGGAGGGGAUUGCGUCUGAUCAGCUAGUCUGGGGGGGAAAGGCCCACCAAGGCGAUGAUCAGUAGGCGGUCUGAGAGGAUGAACGGACAAAAUGGGACUGAGGCACGGCCCAGACUCCUACGGGGGGCAGCAGUGGGGAAUCUUCCGCAAUGGACGAAAGUCUGACGGAGCAACGCCGCGUGAGUGAUGACGGCCUUCGGGUUGUAAAGCUCUGUUAAUCGGGGCGCGGUACCGGAAUAGAAAGCCACGGCUAACUACGUGCCAGCAGCCGCGGUAAUUC
rnacentral:rRNA from 1 species